GAUGAACGCUGGCGGCGUGCCUAAUACAUGCAAGUCGAGCGAACGGACGAGAAGCUCGCUUUUCUGAUGUUAGCGGCGGACGGGUGAGUAACACGUGGAUAACCUACCUAUAAGACUGAGAUAACUUCGGGAAACCGGAGCUAAUACCGGAUAAUAUUUUGAAUCUCAUGGUUCAAAAGUGAAUGCCGGUUUUGAUGUCACUUAUAGAUGGAUCCGCGCUGCAGUAGUUAGUUGGUAAGGUAACGGCUUACCGAGGCAACGAUGGCUGGCCGAACUGAGAGGGUGUACGGCGCCUCUGGAACUGGGACGCGGUCCUGGCUCCUACGGGAGGCAGCAGUAGGGAAGCUUGCGCAAUGGGCGGAAGCCUGACGGAGGAACGCCGCGUGGGUGAUGAAGGUCUUCGGGUCGUAAGACUCUCUUAUGGGGGAAGAACAUAUGUGUAAGUAACUGUGCACAUCUUGACGGUACCUAGUCAGGAAGCCACGGCUAACUACGUG
rnacentral:rRNA from 1 species